GGGAGCUUGGCUCAGUUGGAAGAGCGCAGGUCUCAUAUGAAAAAUUGUCAGAGGAUGAUGACAAAGAGAAAUAUGAUCUGGUUGUAUAACAUCAGAGUUAUCCUGAGGUCGUGAGUUCGAGCCUCACAGUUCCCA